GCGUUGGUGGUAUAGUGGUAAGCAUAGUUGCUUUCCAAGCAGUUGGGACCCGUUUUGAUUCCCCGUCAACGUA